CUACUCGUAGUGUUCCCCACCGGACGGUUGAAACGUGAAGUGUGGUGCACCGACGUUGAGCGAAUUCAGCAAAAUUCUGAUCUUCUAGAAGAUGAAUGAAGAUAAGAAAAAACUUCAAAGCUUCUGCCAGAACGCAGCCGUGAAUCUGACUAGCAUCAAGUCGAAUCCAGCAAUGGUAUCGCCGGACGUGUUUCGAUUAAAGAAGUGCCACUAAACUAUCUGGCAGGCUCGACAUGUUAAGAGAAACAGAACCCUUUUAUCGUGCGAUUAGACAAUCUUUUCAAGGAGUUUAUUAUUGAAUGAUUAAAUAUUUACAAAAAUAAAAAAA